UCUCGAAAGCCUGUCUCAGUUCGGAUUGGAGGCUGAAACCCGCCUCCAUGAAGUUGGAUUCGCUAGUAAUCGCGCAUCAGCCAUGGCGCGGUGAAUACGUUCCCGGACCUUGUACACACCGCCCGUCAAGCCAUGGGAGCCGGGGGUGCCUGAAGUUCGUGACCGCAAGGAGGACGCAGUCGAAGGUGGGAUUGAUGACUGGGGUGAAGUCGUAACAAGGUAGC
rnacentral:rRNA from 1 species